GUUUUUUGUUUUGAGCGUUUGGUGGAUGCCUUGGCAUCGUGUGCCGAUGAAGGACGUUGUGGCUGGCGAUAGCCUCGGGGAGUUAGCGAGCGUGCGUUGAUCCGGGGGUUUCCGAAUGGGGUAACCUAACCAUAGUUGUGUGUGGUUGGCGCGCACUGAAGUUUUGAUAGGUGUGUGUUGGUAGGGUGGGAAGUGAAACAUCUUAGUACCGCCUUUUGUGAGAUAGUCCGUGUGUAGUGGUGAGCGAUAGCGGGUGUUGGCUAAACCGUUUGCGUGUGAUACUCGGCAGGGGUUGCGCGGGCGGGGUUGUGGGACGAAGUCGUUGAGAAUCUGCCGGUUCUUGGAGCGUUUUUGUGUGUGCGAGGUGAACAGGUUGGGAUGCCUGGCCGUAGACCGUGAGAGUCGGGUAGCUGGUUGUGCAUGCUUUGCGUUGGGUUUUGUUCCCGAGUAGCGCGGGGCUCGUGGAAUCUCGUGUGAAUCUGCCCAGACCAUUGGGUAAGCCUGGACGGGCAUGGUGACCGAUAGUGGAUUAGUACCGUGAGGGAAUGGUGAAAAGUACCCCGGGAGGGGAGUGAAAUAGUUCCUGAAACCAAGCGUUUUUAAGCCGUCAGAGCCGCGGGGUCUUCGGACUGGUGUGGUGGUGGCGUGCCUAUUGAAGAAUGAGCCUGCGAGUUAUGUUGCGUUGCGAGGUUAACCUGUUGUGGGGUAGUCGUAGGGAAACCGAGUCCUGGGGGCGUUUUAGUUGCGUGGCAUAGACCCGAAGCGGGGUGAUCUACCCAUGGCCAGGUUGAAGCGGCGGUAGAACGUCGUGGAGGACCGCACCCACCAGGGUUGAAAACCUGGGGGAUGAGCUGUGGGUAGGGGUGAAAGGCCAAUCAAACUCCGUGAUAGCUGGUUCUCCCCGAAAUAUAUUUAGGUAUAGCGUUCCAUCUUUUGCUUGCGUGUGGUAGAGCUACUGGUUGGUUGAUGGGCCUUGUUGGUUACUGAGAUCUGCUAAACUCCGAAUGCGCGUUAAGUUGGUGGGGCAGUCAGACAGCGGGGGAUAAGCUUCGUUGUCGAGAGGGAAACAGCCCUGAUCAUCGGUUAAGGUCCCUAAGUGUGUGCUGAGUGGAAAAGGAUGUGUAGUUGCGUUGACAGCCAGGAGGUUGGCUUAGAAGCAGCCACCCUUGAAAGAGUGCGUAAUAGCUUACUGGUCGAGUGAUUGUGCGCCGAUAAUGUAGUGGGGCUUAAGCAUGCCACCGAAACUGUGACUACAACAUUUUUUGUUGUGGGGUAGGGGAGCGUCCUGCAUUGUUGUAGCGGCCUGGUGAUGGGUCGUGUGUGGUGUGGGAGUGAGAAUGCAGGCAUGAGUAGCGAGUCCAGCGUGAGAAUCGCUGGCGCCGAUAAACUAAGGGUUCCAGGGGAAGGUUUAUCCGCCCUGGGUUAGUCGGGUCCUAAGGCGAGGCCGUCAGGCGUAGUCGAUGGUUGAGCAGUUGAUAUUCUGCUACCGGGAUAGGACCGUUUUUUGAUGCUCUUACUUUUGAGCUUGACGCCCUUUUCAGUUUUUGUCUUCCUUCGGGUUGGCAGGGAUUGUUGGGUUUUGGGUUUUUGGUUUGAGUGUUUUAGCUUCGUGGUGACACAGUGAGAUUGCCUGGCGCGGUGGUGGUUUACCGUGUUCAAGCCUGUAGCCUGUCUUCUAGGUUAAAUCCGGGAGGCGUUAAGGGUGAGGGGUGAUGGUGAGGCCCUUUUGGGUCGAUAACAGGGUUGGUCUGUACUGUCGAGAAAAGCUGCGUUGUGAGGUGUUGUUCCGCCCGUACCCUAAACCGACUCUGGUAGUUGGGUAGAGAAUACUAAGGCGAGCGAGUGAAUCGUGGUUAAGGAAUUCGGCAAAUUGCCUCCGUAACUUCGGGAGAAGGAGGCCCCACCCUUUGAAACUGCUUUUCGUGGUUAGGGGGUGUGGGGUGCAAUAGCAAGAUGGAAGCGACUGUUUAUCAAAAACAUAGGUGCGUGCGAAGCCGUAAGGCGAGGUAUACGCACUGACGCCUGCCCGGUGCCGGAAGGUUAAGAGGAGCUGUUAGCUUUGGCGAAGCGGUGAAUUUAAGCCCCGGUAAACGGCGGUGGUAACUAUAACCAUCCUAAGGUAGCGAAAUUCCUUGUCGGGUAAGUUCCGACCUGCACGAAUGG
rnacentral:rRNA from 1 species